rnacentral:pre_miRNA from 13 species
UUUGAGGCAUAGUGAUGGUGUCACACACAAUGCUGGGAGACGUUACCACGUGCUACCUCAUUCCGUGAUAUCAUCACCCAGCACCGCACGGGUCCGUUGAGAGCCGCAGG